rnacentral:rRNA from 1 species
GUGGGGAAUAUUCCGCAAUGGACGAAAGUCUGACGGAGCAACGCCGCGUGAGUGAUGAAGGUUUUCGGACUGUAAAGCUCUGUUGUUUAGGACGAAAGUGCCUGUUGCGAAUAGUUACAGGUAUUGACGGUACUGAACGAGGAAGCCACGGCUAACUACGUGCCAGCAGCCGCGGUAAUACGUAGGUGGCAAGCGUUGUCCGGAAUUAUUGGGCGUAAAGAGCAUGUAGGCGGGAAUCUAAGUCUGUUGUGAAAAUGCGGGGCUCAACCCCGUAUUGCGAUGGAAACUGGGUUUCUUGAGUGCAGGAGAGGAAAGGGGAAUUCCCAGUGUAGCGGUGAAAUGCGUAGAUAUUGGGAGGAACACCAGUGGCGAAGGCGACUUUCUGGACUGUAACUGACACUGAGGCACGAAAGCGUGGGUAGCAAACAGGAUUAGAAACCCUGGUAGUCC